GAUUCAGUGUAAGUGUGGUUCAUGUGGGACCAGGAAGCAAACUCCAUCCGAAUGGGAACGACAUACUGGUUCCAGAGCAAAAAAAGUGGAAAGUCAGCAUUAAACUCAAAGAUUUGAUGUUACCGCCAGAAAAAUACGUUUGUUUUUCAUCUCAUCUACUUUGAUUAAACUUGCAGAUUAUAAAAUUGAUUAUUACGCUAAGGCUCUUUUCGAAUCAACUAGAUGAACAACAACUGUUUUCGUUUAUUCAAGAUGUCAAAUCCAUGUUCAUCAAGAAUGCUAUGGAGUUAGAGAUAUGAAUGAUUUCACAUCUUGGGUUUGUCGGGCGUGUGAAACACCCGAGGUUGAGCGAUAAUGUUGCCUUUGCCCUGUAAAAGGUGGUGCAUUGAAGCCGACUAAUAUUGAUACAUUGUGGAUCCAUGUAAUAUGUGCGUGGUUUCGACCGGAGGUUGCUUUUCUAAGCGGUGAAAAGAUGGAACCUGCAGUUGGGCUUUUACGGAUUCCACCCGAUUCAUUUGUUAAGGCAAUAUAAGAGGCGUACAGUAUAGAAAACGAGCAUUUGAAUUCUGGAUAUAGAGAUUGACAAGAACGUUCUAGCGAAUCGGAUCUGGUUGAGAUCCAUGUGGGACCUGCUACAGAUCUUGAUCAUGAAUAUUUCAAUCAUAAGAAGAUGUAAUGUGAUGGUUGUAAUCUUUGGGUACAUGCUUAAUACAAUGAAAUUUCAAGCAAUCACUUCACGGAUCCGGAAAACAAUGAAUAUUACUUCCCAGAAUGCAAGGGUCAGUUUUCAUUUGACCAAUCGGUUGUAGACGAAAGUCAAUCUAAAGUCAGCAGUUGUACAGAAAGCAAUGACCAGAUUACACUUCCUGACAAAAUAGUUGUCGUCUGUAUGGACGUUGAAGGCAUUUACUAUCCAAAUCUUCAUCUGAUUCAGUGUAAGUGUGGUUCAUGUGGGACCAGGAAGCAAACUCCAUCCAAAUGGGAACGGCAUACUGGUUCCAGAGCAAAUGAAAACUGUUGAAGAAGAUAGCACUUUAAUAAUGGCUUCCGUUAAUUUAAGUAUUAUUUGUUUUUUUACUAAUGAGAUUAGUCACCUUUACUAAGAAGGGUAUGAAGAUUGGUAUAACAAUCGCAUUAUAGAUGACGAGUGUUGUAAUCUACUUUGGAGUUUAUCUCUAACCUACUUUAGAGUUGAGUUUAUCAAUAAUUAUAUAUCUAAUUUAUGUUAUUCUUACU
rnacentral:lncRNA from 1 species